rnacentral:rRNA from 1 species
AAGGGCUGGGGAUUGCUUGUGUCGCUUGYGCGUGCUUCAGUGCUGUGCUCGCGGACGGCAUGCAUCGAUUAGGAUGGGGAGAACAGGGCCAUCGGGAAUUCGGCUGGAUCCGUCCAGUGUUGUAGCCCGGAGGUCAAUGGAGCCUCUUCUGACCGUUGAGUGUCUUGCGAUUGUCAGCCGCCCGUCUUGAAACACGGACCAAGGAGUGCACCUUGCAUGCGAGUCGAAGGGACUGUAAUCCCAAAGGCGAAGCGAAAGCGAAGGCUGCGAACCCUCACGGCGUCGGCAGCACCCGCCUUGUGCGAGGUAGAGCAUGUAGGGUGCGACCCGAAAGAUGGUGAACUAUGCCCGGGUAAGGUGAAGCCAGUGGAAACGCUGGUGGAGGCCUGUAGCGGUUCUGACGUGCAGAUCGAUCGUGUAACCUGGGUAUAGGGGCGAAAGACCUAUCGAACCGUCUAAUGGCUGGUUCCCCCCGAAGUUUCCCUCAGGAUAGCUGUGUCCCUAUUGUCAGUUGCACGCGGUAAAGCGAAUGAUUAGGUGUCUCGGGGACGUUAUUGUCCUCGGCUCAUUCUCAAACUGUGAAUUGUGUGCGCACCGCGCGUGACCUAACGGCACGCCGGGCGAAUGACAGGACGCAAGUGGGCUGGUUUUGGUAAGCAGAACUGGCG